rnacentral:rRNA from 1 species
AGCAGCCGCGGUAAUUCCAGCUCCAAUAGCGUAUAUUAAAGUUGUUGCAGUUAAAAAGCUCGUAGUUGAAUUUCGGGGUUAGUAGGUUGGUCAUGCCUCCGGUAUGUACUGGUCUCACUGAUUCCUCCUUCCUUAUGAACCGUAAUGCCAUUAAUUUGGUGUUGCGGGGAAUUUGGACUGUUACUUUGAAAAAAUUAGAGUGUUUAAAGCAAGCUAACGCUUGGAUACAUUAGCAUGGAAUAAUGAAAUAGGACGUUCGAUCUUAUUUUGUUGGUUUUCUAGGAUUGACGUAAUGAUUAAUAGGGAUAGUUGGGGGGCAUUAGUAUUCAAUUGUCAGAGGUGAAAUUCUUGGAUUUAUUGAAGACUAACUACUGCGAAAGCAUUUGCCAAGGAUGGUUCAUUAAUCAAGAACGAAAGUUAGGGAUCGAAGACGAUCAGAUACCGUCGUAGUCUUAACCAUAAACCUAUGCCGACUAGGGAUCGGAUGAUGUUAAUUUUUUANGUACUCAUUCGGCGCCUU